AUUGAACGCUGGCGGCAGGCCUAACACAUGCAAGUCGAACGAGUGGCGGACGGGUGAGUAAUGCCUGGGAAACUGCCCGAUGGAGGGGGACAACUACUGGAAACGGAAGCUAAUACCGCCUACUCUCAGAUGAGCCCAGAUGGGACUGGCGAGUGGGGGGGGUAACGGCUCACCAAGGCGAUGAUCCCUAGCGGGGCUGAGAGGAUGACCAUCCACACUGGAACGGUGACACGGUCCAGACUCCUACGGGAGGCAGCAGGGGGGAAUAUUGCACAAUGGGCGCAAGCCUGAUGCAGCCAUGCCGCGUGUAUGAAGAAGGCCUUCGGGUUGUAAAGUACUUUCAGCGGGGAGGCGUUACCCGCAGAAGAAGCACCGGCUAACUCCGUGCCAGCAGCCGCGGUAAUAC
rnacentral:rRNA from 1 species